UUCUCAGGAAGCUACUGGAGAUUUUUCUCCACCAAAAGGAAGAAGUAAACCAAGAAAGAGGAAGGUGUGGGAUGCAGAAAAUGGGAGACACAGGGCAGGAAAGAGAGAAAUGAAAUGCCUGAAAGGGUGGUGAAGGGAGAUCCUCGGAUGACAGAUUUGAACCUGACACAGAGGAAAGUCAGUCAAGAUUGCUGCAGAAUUGUUUCGUUGGAGAAGUUGGUCCAAAUAACCUGAGAGCCAGUAUGGAACACAGAAGUUGGUGAAUCGCCGCUGUGACAACCUUUAGCAAUACAGAAACUGAGGCACAGAGAGGCUGGUUCACUUGCCCAACAUCACAGAGCUGGAAUCUGGACUGAAAAGCCAUGCAGGGAAUGAGGCCAUAAACAGGAGCUAAAUGUUGAAGGCUACACAGAGGACCUGUGGACAGGUGAGUGUUACGAGAUCGAUGCGAAGGCAGAAGCUCUGAGCAGAGAGGAGUUGUAAAGUAGGUGGACAUUCAUGGGACCAAACAUUUGCCCCUUGUUCAUUUAAUGUUUUAGACUUAGCACCUGAAUCCCUAUGUUGCUUGUCAUCAAUUUGGCAAUUUCCAAGUUGACA